UAACAGCGAUGUUCAGGGAACAAGGGAGAUAACCAUUAGCUCUGGCUGCCUGGGAGCCGGGCAGGACACAGCCACAUUUCUCUUAUUUACUAUAAAAAAAGUCAGUUAAGACAUUACAAAGUCCUUCUUCUGUCCAAAACCCUCUGUUAUGGGCUGAAUUGUGUCCCCCUCCAAUUCAGUUCAUAUGUUGAAGUUCUAAGCCCCAGUACCUCAAAAUGUAACUGUAUUUGGGGAUAGAGUCUUCAAAGAGGCAAUUACGUUAAAACGAGGUCAUUAGGGUGGGGUCUAAUGUGUAUGACUUAUGUGUUUAUUAGAAGAGGAAAAUGGAGGCCAGGUGCAGCGGCUUAUGCCUGUAAUCCCGGCACUUUGGGAGGUCAAGGUGGGCAGAUCGCUAGAGCCCAGCAGUUCGAGACCAGCUUGGGCAACACAGCAGAACCCCGAUUCCAUAAAAAAAUAUAAAAAUUAGCCGGGCGUGGUGGUGUGCACCUGUAGUCCCACCAGCUAUUUGGGAAGCUGAGGUGGGGGAAUCACUUGAGUCCUGGAGAUCGAGGCUGCAGUGACAAAAAAGAAGAAGCCAGAUGCAGUGGCUCACACCUCUAAUCUCAGCACUUUGG
rnacentral:lncRNA from 10 species